GGAGGGUGCAAACGUUGCUCGGAAUUAUUGGGCGUAAAGCGCAUGUAGGCGGUUCGUCAAGUCGGAUGUGAAAGACCCCCGGGGCUCAACCUGGGAAGUGCAUUCGAAACUGGCGGACUUGAGUACGGGAGAGGGUCGCGGAAUUCCCGGUGUAGAGGUGAAAUUCGUAGAUAUCGGGAGGAACACCAGAGGCGAAGGCGGCGACCUGGACCGAUACUGACGCUGAGAUGCGAAAGCGUGGGGAGCAAACAGGAUUAGAUACCCUGGUAGUCCACGCCGUAAACGAUGAGUGCUAGAUGUCGCGGGUAUUGACCCCUGCGGUGUCACAGCUAACGCGCUAAGCACUCCGCCUGGGGAGUACGGCCGCAAGGCUA
rnacentral:rRNA from 1 species